UGUGGCUUAGUGAAGUGGUAUCACACGACAGUUUUUACCUGCGUUUCAUGGGUUCGAUUCCCAUAUCCACAA
rnacentral:tRNA from 1 species